UACGAAGGGGGCUAGCGUUGUUCGGAAUUACUGGGCGUAAAGGGCGCGUAGGCGGUGUGUCAAGUCAGGCGUGAAAGCCCCGGGCUCAACCUGGGAACAGCGCUUGAGACUGGCACGCUCGAGUUCGGGAGAGGAUGGUGGAAUUCCCAGUGUAGAGGUGAAAUUCGUAGAUAUUGGGAAGAACACCGAUGGCGAAGUCAGCCAUCUGGACCGACACUGACGCUGAGGCGCGAAAGCGUGGGGAGCAAACAGG
rnacentral:rRNA from 1 species